GGUCCUGCCUGCCCUGUGACCCCUGGUUCAACGGCCGCGGUAUUUUGACCGUGCAAAGGUAGCGCAAUCACUUGUCUCUUAAAUGAGGACCUGUAUGAAUGGCACAACGAGGGCUUAACUGUCUCCUUUUCCCGGUCAGUGAAAUUGAUCUUCCCGUGCAGAAGCGGGAAUCCUAACAUAAGACGAGAAGACCCUAUGGAGCUUUAGACUUUCGAACAGAUCAUGUAAGCUACCCCCAUGAAAUGGGUAAUAACUAUUGAAUUCCUGUUCUCCUGUCUUUGGUUGGGGCGACCACGGGGAAGAAAAAAACCCCCAUGUGGACCAGGAGCACAUUACUCCUACAACCAUGAGCCACAGCUCUAAUGCACAAAACCUUUGACCAUUAGAUCCGGCAAAGCCGAUCAACGGACCAAGUUACCCUAGGGAUAACAGCGCAAUCCCCUUUAAGAGUCCAUAUCGACAAGGGGGUUUACGACCUCGAUGUUGGAUCAAGACAUCCUAAUGGUGCAGCCGCUAUUAAGGGUUCGUUUGUUCAACGAUUAAAGUCUU
rnacentral:rRNA from 1 species